rnacentral:rRNA from 1 species
AACGCGAAGAACCUUACCUGGGCUCGAAAUGCUGUGGACCAGCUGGUGAAAGCCGGCCUUCCCGCAAGGGACCGCAGUAUAGGUGCUGCAUGGCUGUCGUCAGCUCGUGUCGUGAGAUGUUGGGUUAAGUCCCGCAACGAGCGCAACCCUUGUCCUGUGUUGCCAUACCGAAAGGUGGAACUCGCAGGAGACCGCCAGCGAUAAGCUGGAGGAAGGUGGGGAUGACGUCAAGUCCUCAUGGCCUUUAUGUCCAGGGCUACACACGUGCUACAAUGGACGGUACAAAGCGUCGCUAACCUGCGAAGGGGAGCCAAUCGCAAAAAACCGUUCUCAGUUCGGAUUGCAGGCUGCAACCCGCCUGCAUGAAGCUGGAAUCGCUAGUAAUGGCAGAUCAGCACGCUGCCGUGAAUACGUUCCCGGGCCUUGUACACACCGGCUAC